rnacentral:rRNA from 1 species
GAUCCUGGCUCAGGACGAACGCUGGCGGCGCGCCUAACACAUGCAAGUCGAACGAGAGAGAGGGAGCUUGCUUCCUUGAUCGAGUGGCGAACGGGUGAGUAACGCGUGAGGAACCUGCCUCAAAGAGGGGGACAACAGUUGGAAACGACUGCUAAUACCGCGUAAGCCCACGACCCGGCAUCGGGAAGAGGGAAAAGGAGCAAUCCGCUUUGAGAUGGCCUCGCGUCCGAUUAGCUAGUUGGUGAGGUAA